CCUACGGGGGGCAGCAGUGGGGAAUAUUGCACAAUGGGGGGAACCCUGAUGCAGCGACGCCGCGUGAGUGAAGAAGUAUUUCGGUAUGUAAAGCUCUAUCAGCAGGGAAGAAAAUGACGGUACCUGACUAAGAAGCCCCGGCUAACUACGUGCCAGCAGCCGCGGUAAUACGGAGGGGGCAAGCGUUAUCCGGAUUUACGGGGGGUAAAGGGAGCGUAGACGGCAGAGCAAGUCUGAGGUGAAAGCCCGGGGCCCAACGUCGGGACUGCUUUGGAAACUGCCCGGCUAGAGUGCGGGAGAGGUAAGCGGAAUUCCUGGUGUAGCGGUGAAAUGCGUAGAUAUUAGGAGGAACACCAGUGGCGAAGGCGGCUUACUGGACAGUAACUGACGUUGAGGCUCGAAAGCGUGGGGAGCAAACAGGAUUAGAUACCCUAGUAGUC
rnacentral:rRNA from 1 species